rnacentral:lncRNA from 1 species
CUCGGGAACACUUUCUAUGUACUAAGUAGAAGGGAUGAGCAUCUUGAAUCGUUUUCACCACUUCAAACUUUAUAAUAAAUCAUGCAAUAAUCUUAAACUCCUAAAAAAAGAUGCUAUUAUUCACCAGAAAUGUCAUAAAAAAAAUAGUACAAAAUAAGGUGUCAGACCACCAAUUAAAAAUCCCUAUCUGUUCAACCAAAUUUUGCAAUUUUCACAGCUUUCUAAAUAUUUUACCUUAAGUUUAACUUCAAGGAAACCAGGUAUAUCCUGAAUUGUACAUGUAUCACCUUCCUACAUGCCAAUUUUCAACCAAUGUUUAAAGUCUUGUAACAAAUUUCUGAUUUUGAAAAGACAGGUACUACCAAAAUAACUCCCGGUUUUCUGGAAAUCUUAAAUUAGUGUAUUAUGUAGCGCAUUAAUCCUGAAUUUUUAAUGCAAAUGUAAUAGUAACAUUUUUAGUGGUCUUGUGAUGUUUGUGAAUAUAAUUUUAUAUAUGUGUUUUAUUUUAUGAAAUAAAAGUUACUAAAAAAAUCUAAAUAAUUUAUUGUGAAACCAUUGCUAUAAAAAUAAUAAAAGUCAGAAAAUAAAUAAUAAAAAGAUAGCAGUUGAAUCUUUUAAUAAAUUGUUUUAAUCAUUUAAUUAAAGUGUUAGCAUUUAUUGUAUAGAAACUGGUCUCUUUAUAUAAUGUGAAUUACCUUUACAUUAUUAUGCAAAUGAGUUUAGUCCGGGUAGAUUUCCCGCUAGUCAUGCACGCUUGGUUAUUGUUUUCGUUUUACGGGUAGAUAGUUAUCUAGCUAGUUCGCUGCUGAAAGUUGACGGGGUUGGAUGUUCUUUUGUAUUGAAGAUUUGUCCAAAGGCAUGUGGUUGUUAUAGUUGAAAAUAUCAGGUAUGUUAGGAUAAUUUCUAUUGUCGGUUUCUGUAUUUUUCGGUUUGAUAUAGUUCAUUUAGCGCGCAUUUGUCAAAUUAGUUCUAGUAAUGCGGGAUUCGCUAUUAUUGUUUAAACUAACACUUAUUGCAUGCAUGUUCCUUAUUUUUACAGUGAAUGCACAUCCUUGACGCACAAGUAUGAGUGGUCAGUGAGCCUAAAAUCCAUAAUUUUGGUAUGUGUAUAUUAAUGUUUUAUAAAAACAUAAUAUUUUAGCGUGAGCGUAUUUUCUCUAUAUUUCGGGUGAAAUGUGUAUGUUAAUGUAGAAAAUGUUUUCUAUGUUCUAUUUUUAUUCUAUUACAUUGAAAAGCAUUUACAAAUUAAGAAGGAUUGGCAUUUAGACCGUUUUACGAUAAAUAAAUACAUACAGUUUAACAUGAGCGUGAAGAAAUAAUUCAUUGUUUACAUACAGUGAUUGCCGACACCUUUUUGUCGAGAAUACUAAGAUAAUUAUAUUUUACUUAGUUUGAUACAUGUGUGCAAAUUAUAAUUGCACGAGGAGGUAUAUUUUGUAGAGUUAUAUAUAAUAGUUUUCAUGUGUAUUACGUGAUAACAGUAAUAUCGAUCGUAUGUACUUAUUGAUCAUAUUCACGGAGUAUUCGACUUGGUAUUUUUAAUGAUAAAGUUCCGAGAACAUUUUCGUAAAGUUAAAGUUAUUUUCUUUUGAUAAUUUAUACAGAUUAGGAAAAAAUGAGAAAUAUAAAUACUUUGUUUUAUUGUGCCAUUGUGUUAUGUAAAUGCGUUUAUAUAUGUUGAAUAUUAUAUUUAUAAUUUUAAUACAGAUAUUGGCAGAUAAUUAUAAUUGUAUUUAUUAUGUUUUGUAGGGCGUUUAUUUCAUUAUAUUGAAUACGUCUGGUGCCAAUAAUAAAAUUAUCAACUUUUACUGGAUUGGUUUUGUUAGCCACAUGACACCCCGUUACACAAACUCAUAGACAAGUGAAUUUUGGCUCAAAAUGGUCUAAAUAUAUUUCCCUUUCACCAAAAGUUUCAUUUUUGCAAAUUUGUUGGUUAGUUUAAGUAAACAAUGACAUCAAAAGCACUAUUUUGUGUCAAAGUAGCACUACUUUUACAUACAUUCUAAAUUGGAGGGAGUAAUUGGUGGUCUGACACCUAAAGAGCCAAAAAAGUUGCUCAGAAAUCUUUGCUUUGCUUUAUUCUUAAUCCUUAGUCAAUUUGAAGUCAGAAACAUCCUAUCUGAGCAUAAUGUGACUUAUAUUACAAAUUUCACAGCUCAACUUAAACUGACUGUAAUGUAUGACUUUGAUAGAAAAUUACUGAAAAUUUCAUUUUGGACUACAGGAACAUAAACUUCAAUAUCAGAUCAGUUUUGUUGAUUUUUUUUCUUGUUUGUUCUACUUCUUAAAAGACUUUCCACAAUUUUUACAAUGGGUAAGUAAAAAAUUCAAGGUAUUGAAGAGUCAAGAAUAUUGACCCCCUUUUUUACACCUGUGUAAGUAAUGGACUAUAAAUGAUCAAAAGUGCAGUCAUGUCAUUUAACUGUUUUUAUUUUCUAUCAGUUGAUACAACUUAAGGCAUAAAACUUUUCAUUUGAGAUAAUAAAUGAGAUUUUUUGUGAGUUUUUGCAAUGUUUACAUAAGGCUAUGUUAUUGCAAAUACAUGCUAUGACGCAUGAUAUAAGGGAUAAAAAUCAAUAAUUCAUUAAAUCUUGAUGACAAGAACUUUUUUUGGUGGUAAAAUAACCAUAUUUUAAUGUUAAUACCACAGAAACAUCUUGCUGUGCAUUUAUAACAAUUUGGGACAUUUUUUUUAUGUGAAAGCAUAUUGUCAGGGUGGGAAAAGCUAAAAAUAGCACAAAUUCAGGUCUAAGGCUCUAAAUUUGAAAAUAUGUGACUUUUUGCCCCAAAAAGAUUGAAAUGUGACUACUAUCACUUCAUAUUGAUCAGUUAAGUACAAAAAAUCAAUUGUUUUCUGAAUUUGGGGUUUCACCGCAUUUCCCUUAAAGGUGUCAGACCACCAAUUAAAAAUCCCUAUCUGUUCAACCAAAUUUUGCAAUUUUCACAGCUUUCUAAAUAUUUUACCUUAAGUUUAACUUCAAGGAAACCAGGUAUAUCCUGAAUUGUACAUGUAUCACCUUCCUACAUGCCAAUUUUCAACCAAUGUUUAAAGUCUUGUAACAAAUUUCUGAUUUUGAAAAACAGGUACUACCAAAUAACUCCCGUUUUCUGGAAAUCUUAAAUUAGUGUACUAUGUAGCGCAUUAAUCCUGAAUUUUUAAUGCAAACUCAUAGACAAGUGAAUUUUGGCUCAAAAUGGUCUAAAUAUAUUUUCAUUUCUGCAAAUUUGCUGGUUAGUUUAAGUAAACAAUGACAUCAAAAGCACUAUUUUGUGUCAAAGUAGGACUACUUUUACAUACAUUCUAAAUUGGAGGGAGUAAUUGGUGGUCUGACACCAUAAGGUGGUCGGGUAAAUAAAGCUGAUAGUUGUCACAUAUAAAAUUCUAGAGGUCAGAAGGCAUAUUUUAAAUUGACGAAUAUAUUUUAAAAUACUCCUUGUGACAUUCAAAAUUUACAUUUAUAUUUGAUCAUACUGUAAAACCAGUUGUACUGUAUGCUUCUGAAAUUUUAGGCAUGUUUGACACCA